CAGCAGCAGCCACGGGAAUACGUAGGGUGCGAGCGUUAAUCGGAAUUACUGGGCGUAAAGCGUGCGCAGGCGGUUAUAUAAGACAGAUGUGAAAUCCCCGGGCUCAACCUGGGACCUGCAUUUGUGACUGUAUAGCUAGAGUACGGUAGAGGGGGAUGGAAUUCCGCGUGUAGCAGUGAAAUGCGUAGAUAUGCGGAGGAACACCGAUGGCGAAGGCAAUCCCCUGGACCUGUACUGACGCUCAUGCACGAAAGCGUGGGGAGCAAACAGGAUUAGAUACCCGUGUAGUCCCUGUCUCUUAUAC
rnacentral:rRNA from 1 species